AUGUCCAUAGUGUUUUCUGCGCCUGGUGGGAGUUGCUCUAUGUGUGGGGAGUUGAUGAAGGUGACAGUGUGACCCUUUGAAGCUAGAAUUUUGGCUACUUCAAAGUAAGGGUAUAUGUGUCCCAUAGCCAGCCAUGGGAGCAUUACAAUAUGAAGAGGUUUGUUGCUAUCUUCAUUAGCAAUUGAACCCAUGGAGACUUGGAUUUGUUUGGUAUGUAUGAGUAGAAAGAAUAUGUAAAAGUUGAAGAUAUGAUUAGGAAGAGUAUGCAAGAUUGAAGAUAUAGUAACACUUUUUGCAUGCAUUCUGCGCAAACGCAAAGCAAACUUCCACGAGAACCUCGCAUACC
rnacentral:lncRNA from 1 species